CCAGCAUAUUCUUCACUUAACCUCCUAUUUUUAUUUGUCAAAAAAAUUAUUAAAGUUAAAAUCUUUUUGAAGUCUGUUUGCCCUAAAUAAGAAAAACCCUCUCAAAUGCAUAAGAACGGUGUUUUCCCCCUUUUAGAGAUUUUUCAUAGCUCACAUAACAAGAAGUAUUUCUUCCAUCAAUACAUAAAUUAAUGAUAUUUCGGAAGCCGGACGAUUUACAAGAACAAUAGACGCAAUGGGUGAUUACACUUAUGUGUCGGAGCUUUGGAGGAAGAAGCAGUCAGCUGUUAUGAGGCUCUUAUAAAGGGUGAGGUGCUGGGAGUACCGUCAACUCCUUUCUAUCGUCAGUGUCACCAGGCCUACCAAACUUGACAAGUUAUGCCGCUUGAGAUACAAGGCGAACAAGGGCUAUGUGGUCUACCAUGUUGGUGUGAAACGUAGUUUAAAGAAGAGUCCUGUUUCCAAGGGUAUUAUAUACGCUAAACCCACCAACUAGGGAGUCACCCAACUAAAAUUGCAGUGCAGAAAGCGAUCUGUUGCCGAGGAGCAUGCUGAUAGGAAAUUUGGUUGUCUUAGAGUCCUCAACUCAUAAUGGAUUAAUUAGGAUUCAAUUGAUUUGAGGUAAUAUUGGUUGAUCACGCUCAUGCUGCUAUUCGCAAUGAUCGAAGGAUCAACUAGAUCUGCAACCCAAUGCAUAAGCACAGAAAAUUGUGUGGUCUCAAUAGCUGGUAAGAAAUUCAGAGGACUCUGAGGAAGAGGACAACUCCACCACAAGUCUCGGCCAUCAAGAAGGUACAAAACGAAAUGCUUUACUUAAGAAGAAGAUGUCUUGAAUUCGCAUCACAUUGAAAGAAUUUUGUUGGAAUAUAGUUUAUCAGGUAGACGUUUCUACCUUUAAAUGUCUGAAUUUAUUUUAAUUUGGUUUAUUGUGUGGGGUUACAGUCUUACAGAUUUGGUUUGUGGGUUUUUUUUGUGAUGUUGAUACGAUUUGUGUUAAUUGAAGUGACUCCAGCUUGUAGUAGAUAUACACACAUUAGAUUCUUUGGCAUGGGCAUUAUUCAUUAUAUAAGAAUGAGAAUUUCUUUAUUAUUAGACCAAGAAACUUAUUCGAGCUAAAAUCGUCUAUGAUAAUGUAGGUUUUCAUGUCAAUCUUAUUUGUAGUUAUGCGAUUUGGGUUACUUUGUCUGUAUUAAUUCAUGAAACUCAAGUUUCUUGUAUUGGCUAGAAAGAAUUCUAGUCUGUAGUAGUAUUAAACCAUCAGAUAACAAAGCAUACCUCCUUUUCACAUAGAUUUAUUUUUGACCAAAGGAAAAUUAGACCAAUCAAGGGUCUCUAUUUGUGCAACUUUUUGAUGAAUUUCACAUUAUUAACGGUUUAUAAUUUAUCAGGUACAUAAGAUCAAAAUGUUGUUGUUUUCUUUACCUCAAUGGACUUAUGUAUCCUCUAUAUAAAAGGUGUUAUCAGGUAAAUCGAAAAACAUUUGUAUCCCAAUUCUAAUUUCUUUAAAAGGUAUCCAAAUUUUUAACUCUGUGUGUCAAAGAGAUUCUAUAUUAUCAAGUAUUACUAAAAAAGAAUCAUGUCAUUGUUUAUAAGGACAAGAAGUGAUUUUAAAAUUUUAAUAACGAGACAACUCUCUUGAUUAUCUUUAAUCAAGAGUGUUUUGAAUCCUCGUUCUUGUAUUCAUUGAUCAUUUUUGAAAGUUAAAUGCUGUCAGCACAUAAAAAUGAACAACAAGUAAAAAAGCUUAAACCAGCAUAAAAGUCGAUAGUAAUUAAAAGAAUACUUUGACGAAAUGUUCUUUUUAGUUGAUGCAAGUUUUGAUAUAAUCAUUGUGAUUAACCUUUUAAAAGAAAAGUAUUUACUGUGACUAGGACAAACUUUUCCCUGAAAAGAAUAACUCUGUUCUUCAGAAUUAAGGAAUCAUUUUAAAAUAUUUGUGGUUGCUGUUUAGUUGUCUCAUGUGACAUUCCAUCUCAUUUUUCUCUGUUCUUGUUUCCCUAUUGGUUUCAUGAUAAUUAAAUAAGACAACUAUGUCAACAUUAUUUCACAGCGCUAGUUAUAAGUACAGAGCGUUGAAAGAGUAUGUCUUUAACAAAAUUUUCACAGAGCUGUUUAAGGGGCCAUUAUGUGUUGUCUACAUGCAUAGUUCUAUCCAGAAGGAGGAUAACAACCCUGGAUUGACCAUCUUGAGGUGGAUCUACGAAGAGCUCUCUUCUGACUAUAAGGACAAGCUUCAGGCUGUAUACUUUGUGUAUCCUGGGCUCCCGUGAAGGCUUUUUCUUGGAACUCUAGGCAGAUUUUCUGAGUGGAGAGAAAAGAUUCUGAACCUUGUGUCUAAAUUGGAAGAAAAUGAUAAGGCGAUCACAAAAUUCAUGUUUUCGGCUAAACAAUUGGCUGAAGUAGAUGCAGUAUCCCAUGGCGAUCACAACAUUCAUGUUGUUCCAAUGUUCCAACAUUCAAAAUUGUAAAUAACUGAAUGUUUCAAAAUAAAAGGGCUAAAACCAGAUAAUGCAAAAAUUAAUCAAGCAACAGUCUCUCAAAAAGGUCAAGCUAUUCAAUGUUAAAAGCGGAGAGACAAAAUGUGGUUUCCUUUGUGUUUACAAUACAUGCAGUCAUGUGCUGAUAAAUGUUCUAUAUGAUUUUAUAUAUAU